rnacentral:sRNA from 1 species
GCGGAUGGAGCUCAGAUUCUUCAGUUAACUGUCACCCUCUCCCCUCCCCCGUCACACACACCAGGCCCUGCCAGGACAAGGCAGCUCCUGGAAGCUCCACCAGGACCCACGUCCACCAGGCAUCUCGAACCCUCGGCCCCCAUGGACCCCCUGAGGCGCUCCCCCUCUCCCUGCCUGUCGUCGCGGCCCUCCAGCCCCAGCACCCCACCCUGCGAGAUGCUUGGUCCUGUGGGCAUUGAGGCUGUGCUGGACCAGCUGAAGAUCAAGGUUAUGAAGAUGGGGUUUGAGUUCAACAUCAUGGUGGUGGGGCAAAGCGGGCUGGGCAAGUCCACGAUGGUGAACACGCUGUUCAAGUCCAAAGUGUGGAAGUCAAACCCACCGGGCUUGGGGGUACCCACACCCCAGACGCUGCAGCUGCAUUCAGUGACCCACGUCAUAGAGGAGAAGGGUGUGAAGCUGAAGCUGACGGUGACGGACACGCCCGGCUUCGGGGACCAGAUCAACAAUGACAACUGACAGUGAAGCCGAGAAUGGCAGGAGGUCUCUCUGUCU